AGAGUUUGAUCAUGGCUCAGAUUGAACGCUGGCGGCAUGCCUUACACAUGCAAGUCGAACGGCAGCACGGGUGCUUGCACCUGGUGGCGAGUGGCGAACGGGUGAGUAAUGCAUCGGAACGUACCCGGAAGUGGGGGAUAACGUAGCGAAAGUUACGCUAAUACCGCAUAUUCUGUGAGCAGGAAAGCGGGGGAUCGCAAGACCUCGCGCUUCCGGAGCGGCCGAUGUCGGAUUAGCUAGUUGGUGAGGUAAAGGCUCACCAAGGCGACGAUCAGUAGCUGGUCUGAGAGGACGACCAGCCACACUGGAACUGAGACACGGUCCAGACUCCUACGGGAGGCAGCAGUGGGGAAUUUUGGACAAUGGGCGAAAGCCUGAUCCAGCCAUUCCGCGUGAGUGAAGAAGGCCUUCGGGUUGUAAAGCUCUUUCGCAAGGGAAGAAAGAUUACUUUUUAAUAAAGAGUGAUUAUGACGGUACCUUGAUAAGAAGCACCGGCUAACUACGUGCCAGCAGCCGCGGUAAUACGUAGGGUGCGAGCGUUAAUCGGAAUUACUGGGCGUAAAGCGAGCGCAGGCGGUUCUGCAAGUCAGAUGUGAAAUCCCCGGGCUCAACCUGGGAACUGCGUUUGAAACUACAGAGCUAGAGUAUAGGAGAGGGAGGUAGAAUUCCACGUGUAGCAGUGAAAUGCGUAGAGAUGUGG
rnacentral:rRNA from 1 species